rnacentral:sRNA from 1 species
GGAUAUGAGGGCAAUCUGGCUGUGACAUAUGUGACCCCAUUGAUGGACAAGGUUGAUUUGACUGAUCUGGCUGGCUAGAUGAGGAUCCCUUUCCUCCCUCACUAUUCCAUGAGAGUCCUUCCAAAAGCUGUGCCCUUAGUAGAACAGAAUGACCACCUCUGAUAAAAGAGGACCAUUCCUCGGUCAAGGAUAUAUGAGUAGUUGUGCUUCCUUGCUAGAACUUCCAAACAAACUCCCAAGGUCCAUCCUGGCCUUCAACUCAUUAUGUAGCCCAGGCUGACCCAAAUUUACAGUGAUCCUCCUGCCUCAGUCUCUCAAGUGCUAGGA